AACAAAAAUUUAUAUAAAAUUUUUCAGUAAUAAUAAAUAAUUUAAUUUUUUUUUUAAAGAUAAAAUUAUUAAGUNAAAUUUUAAUUUUAUAAAAAAAAUAUUAAAUAUUAUGAUUUUAAAAAAUUUUAUUAUUAAACUA
rnacentral:rRNA from 1 species